UCUGUGGCGAAAGGGGGCCUCUGUUUACAAGCUCCUGCUUCUGGAUGAGCCCGCGUCCCAUCAGCUAGUUGGUAGGGUAAUGGCCUACCAAGGCUACGACGGGUAGCUGGUCUAAGAGGAUGGCCAGCCACACUGGAACUGAGACACGGUCCAGACUCCUACGGGAGGCAGCAGUGGGGAAUCUUGCGCAAUGGGCGAAAGCCUGACGCAGCGACGCCGCGUGGGUGACGAAGGCCUUCGGGUUGUAAAGCCCUGUGGGGUAGAACGAACUGGCAUCGGGCGUAAUAUCCCGGUGUCUUGACGGUACUGCCUUAGCAAGCAUCGGCUAACUCUGUG
rnacentral:rRNA from 1 species